GGCGGCGUGCUUAACACAUGCAAGUCGAGCGAGAAAGUUCCUUCGGGAAUGAGUACAGCGGCGGACGGGUGAGUAACACGUGAGGACCUGCCCUUUAGUGAAGAAUACCCUCGAGAAAUCGAGGUUAAUACUGCAUACGUCCCUUCGGGGAGAAAGGUGGCCUAAUAGCUACCGCUAAAGGAUGGACUUGCGCACUAUUAGCUAGUUGGUGGGGUAAAGGCCUACCAAGGCGAUGAUGGUUAGCCGGCCUGAGAGGGUGUACGGCCACAUUGGGACUGAGAUACGGCCCAGACUCCUACGGGAGGCAGCAGUGAGGAAUAUUGCGCAAUGGGCGAAAGCCUGACGCAGCGACGCCGCGUGGAGGAUGAAGGUUUUAGGAUUGUAAACUCCUGUUAAGCGGGAAGAAAUGCCUAUCUCUAAUAAAGAUAGGA
rnacentral:rRNA from 1 species